AACGCACAUUGCGCCUCCUGGUAUUCCGGGAGGCAUGCCUGUUCGAGCGUCAUUAAAACCCACUCAGAUUCCCUUUAGGGGGCUUUCUGGUCUUGGGGGAGCAGCGGCAACGCGAGCCCCCCCGAAAUCCAUCGUGCGGAAAGGCCCGGUGGCCCAGGCGUAGUAUUAACAUCCUCUCGUCUGGUGUCUGCCGAGCGUUCCUGCCGUCAACCCCCCCACGACUUCAAUGACUUGGCCUCGAAUCAGGUAGGGAUACCCGCUGAACUUAA
rnacentral:misc_RNA from 1 species